rnacentral:rRNA from 1 species
CCAGACUCCUACGGGAGGCAGCAGUGAGGAAUAUUGGUCAAUGGUCGGGAGACUGAACCAGCCAAGCCGCGUGAGGGGUGAAGGUACAGAGUAUCGUAAACCUCUUUUGUCAGGGAACAAAGGCGGGGACGCGUCCCCGGAUGAGUGUACCUGAAGAAAAAGCAUCGGCUAACUCCGUGCCAGCAGCCGCGGUAAUACGUAGGUGACAAGCGUUGUCCGGAUUUACUGGGUGUAAAGGGCGCGUAGGCGGAUGUGCAAGUCAGUCGUGAAAUACCGGGGCUCAACCCCGGGGCUGCGAUUGAAACUGCACACCUUGAGUAUCGGAGAGGAAAGCGGAAUUCCUAGUGUAGCGGUGAAAUGCGUAGAUAUUAGGAGGAACACCAGUGGCGAAGGCGGCUUUCUGGACGACAACUGACGCUGAGGCGCGAAAGUGUGGGGAGCAAACAGGAUUAGAUACCCGGGUA